rnacentral:rRNA from 1 species
UAGAUACCCUAUUAUAGAAAAUGUAUUUAUUUAUUUAAAGUAGUAAUAGAUAUGAUCUUGAAACUUAAAAAAUUUGGCGGUAUUUUAGUCUAUUCAGAGGAACUUGUUUUAUAAUCGAUAAUCCUCGUUGAACCUUACUUAAAAUAGUAUUCAGUUUAUAUACCGUUGUUAUAGAAUAUUUUAUAAGAAUAAUAAUUUUCAAUAAAUUAAAUUAAAUUGUAUAUCAAAUCAAGGUGUAGCUUAUAUUUAAGAAAAAAUGAGUUACAAUAAAAAUAUUUAAAUGAAUAUAAAUAUGAAAAAUUUAUUGAAAGUGGAUUUGAAAGUAAAUUUAUUAAGAUUAAUAAAUUGAUUUAAGCUCUAAAAUAUGCACACAUCGCCG